GACAGAGGGUGCAAACGUUGUUCGGAAUUACUGGGCGUAAAGCGUGUGUAGGCGGCUCUGAAAGUCGGAUGUGAAAGCCCCAGGCUCAACCUGGGAAGUGCACCCGAAACUCCAGAGCUUGAGUAUCGGAGAGGUUGGUGGAAUUCUCGGUGUAGAGGUGAAAUUCGUAGAUAUCGAGAGGAACACCGGUGGCGAAGGCGGCCAACUGGACGAAUACUGACGCUGAGACACGAAAGCGUGGGGAGCAAACAGG
rnacentral:rRNA from 1 species